CCUGACCUCCUCUGAUCUAUCUGUAUCCUCAGCUGGCGACGUCCUCCCACUUCCUGAAGGACCUGGGGUUAGACAGCUUGGACCAGGUAGAGAUCAUCAUGGCCAUGGAGGAUGAGUUUGGGUUUGAGAUCCCGGAUGUGGAGGCGGAGAAGCUGAUGUGUCCUCAGGAUAUCGUCCAGUACAUCGCUGACAAGAAGGACGUGUAUGAAUAAGAAGGAACCAGGAACUACACUCAGUGAGUGUCCGCGCCGACGUCCCCCGCGGCGUUGAAAAGGGUGUAACGCUCUCUCACCAUUUACAUGUUUUAUUUUUAUUUAAAGAACUAAUAAAAGCCUUGUGUUUUGGCCUUCAGAACAA